rnacentral:rRNA from 1 species
UACAGAGGAGCCAAGCGUUGUCCGGAUUGACUGGGCGUAAAGCGCACGCAGGCGGACGCGCGCGUGGGGUGUGAAAUCUGGCCGCUUAACGGCCAGGCGCCAUCCCAUACGGCGUGUCUGGAGUGAUGCAGAGGUCGGUGGAAUUGCCGGUGUAGUGGUGAAAUGCGCAGAUAUCGGGAGGAACACCAAUGGCGAAGGCAGCUCGCUGGGACGGUACUGACGCUGAGGCGCGAAAGCGUGGGUAGCGAACAGG